rnacentral:rRNA from 1 species
AGCGAACGCUGGCGGCAGGCCUAACACAUGCAAGUCGAACGAACCUUUCGGGGUUAGUGGCGGACGGGUGAGUACCACGUGGGAACGUGCCUUUAGGUUCGGAAUAACUCAGGGAAACUUGUGCUAAUACCGAAUGUGCCCUUCGGGGGAAAGAUUAAUCGCCUUUAGAUCGGCCCGCGUCUGAUUAGCUAGUUGGUUGAGGUAAUGGCUCACCAAGGCGACGAUCAGUAGCUGGUAGGAGAGGAUGAUCAGCCACAUUGGGACUGAGACACGGCCCAAACUCCUACGGGAAGCAGCAGUGGGGAAUCUUGCGCAAUGGGCGAAAGCCUGACGCAGCCAUGCCGCGUGAAUGAUGAAGGUCUUAGGAUUGUAAAAUUCUUUCACCGGGGACGAGAAUGACGGUACCCGGAGAAGAAGCCCCGGCUAACUUCGUG